CCCCACAUAUUCAACAAACUGACAAUUUCCAACAUUUUGGUCACAAGACAAAGAUCAGUACUCCCCUUUUUCUUUUUCUUCUUUCCUGUACCUUCUCCUCCUACCAUCCCAAGGAUGGCUAAGCUUCAAUCAGAUCAACUUAAACAGCUGAGGGACAUCUUCAUUCGCUUUGACAUGGACAGGGAUGGUAGCCUAACGCAGCUAGAGCUCGCGGCCCUGCUGCGUUCCCUCGGGCUAAAACCAACAGGGAAUCAAAUUCAUGAUCUACUGGCCAACAUGGAUGCCAACGGUAAUGGUACGAUUGAAUUUGAAGAGCUUGUUGAGGCCAUUUUGCCAGACAUGAACGAGCAGAUUUUGAUCAAUCAAGAACAACUAUUGGAGGUCUUUCGAUCGUUCGAUCGCGAUGGCAAUGGUUUCAUAACUGCAGCUGAAUUUGCUGGCCAAAUGGCCAAAAUGGGACAUCCCUUGACUUACAAAGAGCUAACUGAAAUGAUGCGUAAUGCUGAUACAAAUGGAGAUGGGGUCAUUAGCUUCAAUGAGUUUGCCAACAUUUUAGGCAAAUCUGCCUCUGAUUUUCUUGGUCUAACGGUCUCGUGAUCGAUGGAUUGGUGAUUGUGUGAAAUUAAAGUAUACGUUGGAUAUUUAAUGGAUGUAUUUUAGUAUACUUGGAAGUUCAGGAACGAAAUGUUCAGGGUUCGUCGUGCCUUGAUCUAGAAUGCUGAUAUUUGGAUCACUCAAUACGAUAGGUUCUGUACCAAAAGGGAGUUAUCUUUGAUCAUCCUUCUCAAAACAGGACCGAAGAAACUUCAUAUUCAGGCAAAUGAACAUGACUCGGACAAUCUCGAUGCUUCUGUCACCCUAAAAAUUGAUCCAUUUGAGUGGUCAAGGAAUCUGGUGCUAUUGUUUGGAAGACUAAAAACCACCAUUAUAGAAGGCCUAUUGCUACCUGCAAGGGCUCUUAGGACGCUCCUCAGUACCAUUGUUGUAACUAUGUCCACAAAAAUGGAUUAAUCCUUUGAAGCAAAUUGAGCAUUUGUUCCUGAGCCA